GCAUGUCUCCGAGAAUAACCGCCACAAAGCCUGCCGUUACUUUAAAUGCUGUCCUCAGUUUUACAGGAAAGGAGUACAGAUUACCUUCUCAGAAGCCUUGGGGACAGGAUACUUAGGCCGUCGGCCUACAAAACAAAGAACGAACAGCUCUCACUAUGAGUAACAAGAAGAGGAGGCCCAAGCAUUAUGUU